GUGAAUCAUCAAAUUUUUGAACGCAAAUUGAGCCGUUUUCGGAAGGCAUGUCUGUUUGAGGGCCCCAUUUAACAGAUAAUGUGCAGCGUUUUUUGUUGCACACGUUGAUGAGCUUUCCAAGUAUUUUAAAUUUUUGGUGGCGCAUAAUGAACAGCGUGAAUGAUAUUUUUAGUUCGAGUGAAGUAAAAU
rnacentral:misc_RNA from 1 species